rnacentral:rRNA from 1 species
GCAAGAUACCACGGGCGCACGGCGGAUGCCUUGGCACAGGGAGCCGAUGAAGGACGCGGCAAGCUGCGAUAAUCCCCGGCGAGGAGCACACAUCCUUCGACCCGGGGGUCUCCGAAUGGGCGAACCCAUGCACAGCAGUGUGCAUAUCCCCGGCCCGAACACAUAGGGCCGGGGAGGACAACCCGGGGAACUGAAACAUCUAAGUACCCGGAGGAGAGGAAAUCAAUCUCGAGACUCCCCGAGUAGCGGCGAGCGAAAGGGGACCGAUGGCCAAACCGUCGAGCGGGCAUACCCGGCAGGGGUUCCGCCGACGGGGUUGCAGGGCCGCGCAUCCGGGGGCUGCCGCCCCCGGGCGCAGGUCCGGCUGGGGAGCGGAACGGCAUGGGAGGGCCGGCCGCAGCGGGUGACAGCCCCGUACGCGAACCCAGACCGGACGGCGCGACGCGGUCCCUGAGUAGGGCCGGGCACGUGAAACCCGGUCCGAACCUGGGUGGACCACCAUCCAAGCCUGAGUACUACCCUGUGACCGAUAGCGCACCAGUACCGUGAGGGAAAGGUGAAAAGCACCCCGGGAGGGGAGUGAAACAGUACCUGAAACCGUGCGCCCACGAGCAGUCGGAGCACCCUUGUGGUGUGACGGCGUGCCUUUUGUAGAAUGAGCCAGCGAGUCGCUGGCGCGGGGCGAGGUUAACCGAAAGGGAGCCGGAGCGAAAGCGAGCCUUAACAGGGCGACUUGAGUCCCGCGCCGCGGACGCGAAGCCGGGUGAGCUAUCCGUGGGCAGGCUGAAGCGGGGGUAAGACCCCGUGGAGGGCCGAACGCACGUCGGUUGAAAACGGCGGCGAUGACCUGCGGAUAGGGGUGAAAGGCCAAUCAAACCCGGAGAUAUCUCGUUCUCCCCGAAAUAGCUUUAGGGCUAGCGUCGCGCGUUCACCGCCGGAGGUAGAGCACCGGAUGGACGAGGGGGCUUCGCCGCCUACCGAAUCCAACCGAACUCCGAAUGCCGGCGGCCCAGAGCGCGGCAGUCAGAGCAUGUGGGCUAAGCUGUGUGCUCGAGAGGGAAACAGCCCGGACCGCCCGCUAAGGUCCCCAAGUUCCAGCCGAGUGGCAAAGGAUGUGCGUCCGCCCAGACAACCAGGAUGUUGGCUUAGAAGCAGCCAUGCAUUCAAAGAGUGCGUAACAGCUCACUGGUCGAGUGGACAUGCGCCGACAAUACACGGGGCUAAGCUGGACACCGAAGCGGCGGGAUUUUGAUUUUCAGAAUCGGUAGGGGAGCUUCCCAUGGGCGGGGAAGCCGCCGGGCGACCGGCGGUGGAGCGCAUGGGAGUGAGAAUGCUGGCAUGAGUAGCGAGAGACGAGAGAGUAACUCGUCCGCCGUGAACCCGAGGUUUCCUGGGCAAGGCUAAUCCUCCCAGGGUCAGUCGGGGGCUAAGGCGAGGCCGGGAGGCGUAGCCGACGCGCAGCAGGCAGACAUUCCUGCACCGCGCACGCGGCGCUACGACCGACGGGGCGACGGAUGGGGGUGGCUCGGCGGGGUUCUGGACGUCCCCGUGAUGGAGCGCGGCCCGCGGACCAGGGAAAUCCGGUCCGCACGAGGGCGAGGCUCCGGACGAAGCGACUGAGCGAAGCGAGUGAGCCCGAGGUCCCUAGAAAAACCCCUAGGCAGGCGCGUGCGCGCCCGUACCGCAAACCGACACAGGUGGGUGGGUAGAACAUACCGAGGCGAUCGGGUCAACCAUGGUCAAGGAACUCGGCACAAUGGCCCCGUAACUUCGGGAGAAGGGGUGCCCGCGCGUACGUGAACCGGCUUGCCCGGGGAGCGGAGGCGGGCCGCAGUGGAGAGGCCCAAGCGACUGUUUACCAAAAACACAGGACUCUGCAGAAGCCGCAAGGCGACGUAUAGGGUCUGACGCCUGCCCGGUGCCGGAAGGUCACGCGGAGGAGUUAGCCGCAAGGCGAAGCCCCGAAGCCAAGCCCCGGUAAACGGCGGCCGUAACUAUAACGGUCCUAAGGUAGCGAAAUUCCUUGUCGGGUAAGUUCCGACCUGCACGAAUGG